GUCGUAACUUAUUGUAAAAAAUUGUAUGUGUUCCUGUUUUCUCCUAUUUUUCGCACAUAUACUGUCAGUCGAAAUAGAAAGUACAAUGAUGUAUUUUUAGUUUAUUCUAUUUUUAGAUCAUGUUAUUACUACGCAUAUGGGCACUAUUGCCACGAUUACCUGAGGGCACCGAUUACCUUAGGGCAUACAGCAGCGGACCUAACUGCCAUCUGCGU
rnacentral:lncRNA from 1 species